UACGUAGGGUGCGAGCGUUAUUCGGAAUUAUUGGGCGUAAAGGGCGCGUAGGCGGCUUGGCAAGUGGAUGGUGAAAUCCCUCGGCUUAACCGAGGAACUGCCGUCCAAACUGCUUCGCUUGAGACCGGGAGAGGUGAGUGGAAUUCCCAGUGUAGCGGUGAAAUGCGUAGAUAUUGGGAGGAACACCAGUGGCGAAGGCGGCUCACUGGACCGGUACUGACGCUGAUGCGCGAAAGCGUGGGGAGCAAACGGGG
rnacentral:rRNA from 1 species